GAUGAACGCUGGCGGCGUGCCUAAUACAUGCCAGUCGAGCGAACAGACGAGGAGCUUGCUCCUCUGACGUUAGCGGCGGACGGGUGAGUAACACGUGGAUAACCUACCUCUAAGACUGGGAUGACUUCGGGAAACCGGAGCUAAUACCGGAUAAUAUAUUGAACCGCAUGGUUCAAUAGUGAAAGACGGUUUUGCUGUCACUUAUAGAUGGAUUCGCGCCGCAUUAGCUAGUUGGUAAGGUAACGGCUUACCAAGGCAACGAUGCGUAGCCGACCUGAGAGGGUGAUCAGCCACACUGGAACUGAGACACGGUCCAGACUCCUACGGGAGGCAGCAGUGGGGAAUCUUGCGCAAUGGGCGAAAGCCUGACGGAGCAACGCCGCGUGAGUGAUGAAGGUCUUCGGAUCGUAAAACUCUGUUAUUAGGGAAGAACAAAUGUGUAAGUAACUAUGCACGUCUUGACGGUACCUAAUCAGAAAGCCACGGCUAACUACGUG
rnacentral:rRNA from 1 species